GAUGAACGCUGGCGGCGUGCCUAAUACAUGCAAGUCGAGCGAACAGAUAAGGAGCUUGCUCCUUUGACGUUAGCGGCGGACGGGUGAGUAACACGUGGGUAACCUACCUAUAAGACUGGGAUAACUUCGGGAAACCGGAGCCAAUACCGGAUAAUAUUUCGAACCGCAUGGUUCGAUAGUGGAAGAUGGUUUUGCUAUCACUUAUAGAUGGACCCGCGCCGUAUUAGCUAGUUGGUAGGGUAACGGCUUACCAAGGCGACGAUACGUAGCCGACCUGAGAGGGUGAUCGGCCACACUGGAACUGAGACACGGUCCAGACUCCUACGGGAGGCAGCAGUAGGGAAUCUUCCGCAAUGGGCGAAAGCCUGACGGAGCAACGCCGCGUGAGUGAUGAAGGUCUUCGGAUCGUAAAACUCUGUUAUUAGGGAAGAACAUACGUGUAAGUAACUGUGCACGUCUUGACGGUACCUAAUCAGAAAGCCACGGCUAACUACGUG
rnacentral:rRNA from 1 species